AUCCAAACUGACAGGGUAUUAAAGCUAUUUGGGACCUUAACCUUUUUAUAUAACCCUAAAAGUGACUGACAACAUUUUUUCCCCAGCUAUAAACCCAAACAAAAUUUGUUUGGACCUAUCUGACAGCUCUGAUGUUGUCUUUGUGUCGUGGAGGAACCCUAACCGUGUAGUAGGAGACCACUGCUAUGAGAGCACACUACAAUACAGGAACCACUGUGACACGGACUGGCAGGUUGUUGUACUGAAGGAGUUCUCCUACCAGGUGGACAAGCCAGACAGGAAGAGGAGAUAUUACUUCAGGAUACGGAUGAGAUACGACUGUCUGUUUGGUGACCUGAAGACUUGGAGUGGAUGGACACCAACUAGAUACUGGAGAAAUGAGACCGAGACAGGUCCCUGUGCCACAGAGAUAAAUGUCAUUGUUUAUGUUGUGACCAUUUUACCUUUGUUGAUCUGUUUCCUGCUGAUAGUCACUUUCUCACAGAACAGG